UGUAGCUCAGUUGGUAGAGCAUGGCGCUUGUAACGCCAGUGUAGUGGGUUUGAAUCCCAGGACCA
rnacentral:tRNA from 1 species